rnacentral:tRNA from 1 species
GGGGCAGUGGCUCAGGUGGUUGAGCAGGUUGGCCAAUGAUCAAUGGGACGGUGGUUCGAUCCCUGCCUCCCCCA